CUUUUCUUUUUUUUUUUUUUUUUUUUAAUUUUGUUCUAAUUUUUCAGUCAUUUAUUAACGCUCUCUCGUUUUAUGACCCACCUGUUCCCAUGCCACGCUGAUCUAGAGAGCCUUGUUUUCCUGACAGCUGGCUGAUCACCAGCACAAUCUGAUGGAGAACUGGGGGACUCAAUGGAAGGACCUUGACCCCCAGCCAGCCGCUCUUUGUUGGGUGCUUUCAGGCCGAGUCCUCCCCCAAAGACGAAGGCGAUUUCUAUUUGUCAAAGUGGAGAGACAACAGGAGAAAGAAUAAAGAAAAUCUUCUAAGCAGUCAGCUGAACUUGUUCAGACUGAUACCAGCUUGCGGUAUUCAGACGGCAGCUAACCCAAGGUUUCCCUAACCUUGGCAGAAGUGCGGGAAAUAGUUGCAGGAGGAUGAAGUGUUCUUGAACUGUUUCUCCAAUGUAUCAAGCACAAGAAGGCUUUUCUGCAAUAUUAAGCAUGUGCCUCUCUUUUCUUCCCCUUUAAAGAAACUUUUUAUUGUAGACUAUAAAAGGGGGAAAAAAAUCAAUAUCUGUCUGUUUGUGGACCCCUGUGCUGCUUCUACACUACCCAAGGACAAAGAUGCAAAUCAGGACCUCCCCAGUAUAAUAGCAUUUAGAAGGCAAAUUACUUUUUAAAGUCUUACAGUAAAAGCAAAAGGUUAAAAGAAAUAGCUGUACUCAAGUGUCGUUUUAAACAAAAAGGAAAAAAAAAUAUUAACCACAUUCUUGAAAACAUCAGCCAGAGCUUCCCUGGAAGCAUCAAAAACAGCAUUCCAGAUAAAAGCAGCAUGAUGUGAAAAGACCUGAUCAGCAACAGAUUGAUGUCUGGGCUUGGGGACUAAUGUAAGAACUUAAAGACUUGGCUAGAGAAUAUAUCUUGAGAAGCAUAAACAUAUAAGAGGAUGCCAAACCAUGAAAGGCUUCCUUUGCACUGAGAAUUCAGAAAUCGGCGUGUUGACAAGCAGGGAAGCCAAUGCUGCAAGCAAAGCGCACAGGGUGAUGAAUAAACUCAGCCUUUAGGAGCCUAGGAUAAGAUUGAGAAAGGGGCCAACCUAUUUAGCCGCAGCUGGCAGUCUCUACACCCAGCAUUUAGGUGCUGUCAAGCCUCCGACCUCUCCUCCCAGCUGCCACCCAGUGCUGCUGGUGUUGGUGUCCCACUGACUAGCACUGCUGGAUUUGAUGUUGCCCAGCUGCUCCAAAGCCUUGCUCCAUGCCAGCGUAGCCAGGACACAUCCUCAAAAGCAUGUGUGCUGGCUGGCCCUAACACAGGCACAACCAAGGACCAAGCUUUGUGUGUCACAGUGUAUGCAACAUGGCUGUCACCACGCAGGUAGAAAAUAUCUCUGCCUGACUCCUCCUGCACCUGAUAGGCAUCCUAUGUGAUUCAGUCUUAGAGAGUCUUCCAGGAGACUCUGUAUGGACCUCCUCCCAUGCACCAGGCCUUAGGCUGGAGGUGCAGUGUUUGCCCACCACAUUGCCCUGUGGUUGCCUCUUGCUUGUGCUUCCCGGAGAAGAGGCGAUGGUUCUGCUGCUUCCUGCUGCUUCCCAAAUCAGUGCCCUGCUGGCAGGAAAACCAUUGUACUAGUGGCAGCGUCAGCCGGAGCUGUGCUUUUGAGGAAGGGAUGCAAACUCUUCUCCUCCAGUGUCCCAGGCAGCCAGCAGUGGGGCUGCCUGUGGGCUGGGGCACGUUUGGGACAUGCUUUUCUGGCACCUCUCUCCCCGGUACCAUCUCGCUUUCUUCACAGCCAGCCUCCAUACCUACAGGAACCACCCGCCAAAGCUCAGUGGAUGGGGGCACUUCGUCUGCCCCAUGCAUCGCCUCCUGCCAGCCCUGCAGCCUGGCCAGCCUGGGGGCAAUGCCAGCUACUGCUCUUCCCUGCCCAGAUCUGCUCGGGGAAGCUCUGCAAAAAGGCUGGCAGCCCUGUAGCACUCGUGCUAGGGCUCUGACCUGCUUUCUGCCACCUCACGGAGCUGGGGGAGCAGUCACAGUGGUGGCAGAGCCCAUCUUACUGUGAUGAACCUGGUGCCUACAAACAGUGAUGAAGCCCCCUACAAAGCCAAAGGGUUUCAGCUUCUCUGUUUGGCAUUUGUGUCAUGACAUCUGGCAUUUGAGGCACGGCUGUGCCAUGUUGUAUGUUGGUCUGUUACUCCCCCUCCUCACAGUAACCCAGGAUAUAAGAUCUGUGAGGUUGGCCUGGCCUGGUGGGCAGGCAGCAUGUGUACCAGCCAGCAGAGCAGGAGCCUGAUCACACCACGUCCACCGCAGUAAUAAUUCCUGUGGCAAUACUGAAAAAGAAGUCAGGAAACUGGUCAAGCUGUCUGAUGCGAACAUUUUCUCCUCUCUGCAAGGCUACUGAAAGAGUGAACUGCUUCCAAAGUAGUUUUAUCUGAGGAGAUAAUUCUAAUUGUUCCCAGUUCUGCUGUUAUCUGAUGGGAACGCUCUCGGCAGUGACCUCCUUGCUGAGUGAAGUAAGCCCUACAAAACACCAGAGAGGCAGCUUGAAAUUAGGAUACAGAAAACCGAUGCCAAAAAUAUGUCAGCUUGGAAGGUCAUUAAGAAUUAUCCAUUUGUGCAUGUUCACAUGCCAACAAUACCUUAAGUGAUUACCUUGGAGGGACAGAUUUGUCUAAUGAACAUACAAAUUAACAAUAUAAAAUUGUGAUUGAUAAAUCAAAUAAGAAUUUAUAAUUUGGCAAUGCAUCUAACUGGGAUGGAGUUUCACUGGAUGUGGAUGCAAGAGGCGCCGCUGGUGUUCUUUGCUAAAAAUGACUCUUGGUGGUAUUUUUCCACUUUAUGACACCACAGCUUUAGGUGACUGAUCUAAGAGCUAGCUUGCUCGUACCUCAGGCAGAUACAACUUGUUCUAAAGAGCUUGACUCACAGUUUCCAGGAGUUAUUUUUUUAAACCUCUCUGCCCACACCUUUAUUGAUUUUAUUUUUUUAGCUCAGCUUAGAAAUUAGCCUGGACUGGUACUGGCAUACAAAUGCUUGGUUUUUAAACUAUGUAAUAAUUGGUAUAAUUCGGGUUAUUUUCAAAUUUAGGAACUCAGAUAAAAGCAGCUGACAUUUAGCUCUGUUUUUCUGCACUGACAUAGUUGAGGAGGGUUUGAUUUUUUUUUUUUUUUCUAUGAAAGUUAGGCUACAUUAGCAGUUUACUGAGUUUGAAACGGCAUUUCCUACUCACAGAAUUUAAAAAGUCUAGGAGAACAACAGGUUUAGGUUUAAAAAAUGUCUUGUACAGGUGGGCUUUUAUUUUUCUUCCAGAGCUUUAGACUCCUAUUGGAUACAACCAAUGCAAUAUACACAUAGUGAUUUUAAAUAAGCUGUUACUGGCAGAUGUACUUCAUGUAACAUUUACAAUAAAUUCUUAGUGACUCCUUA